AACGAACGCUGGCGGCGUGCCUAACACAUGCAAGUCGUGCGAGAAAGUUCCUUCGGGAGCGAGUAAAGCGGCGCACGGGUGAGUAACACGUAGGUAACCUGCCCCCCAGUCUGGAACAACUAGAGGAAACUCUAGCUAAUGCCGGAUGAGACCACGAUCCCUUCGGGGGGUUGCGGCCAAAGAUGGCCUCUACUUGUAAGCUAUCGCUGAGGGAUGGGCCUGCGGGCCAUUAGCUUGUUGGUGAGGUAACGGCUCACCAAGGCUGUGAUGGCUAGCUGGUCUGAGAGGAUGACCAGCCACACUGGGACUGAGACACGGCCCAGACUCCUACGGGAGGCAGCAGUGGGGAAUAUUGCGCAAUGGGCGAAAGCCUGACGCAGCGACGCCGCGUGGGUGAUGAAGG
rnacentral:rRNA from 1 species